UGCCACAGCCAUGUCACCCUGCAGCCCAAGACCGGUUAUUCACUGAAGCUAAGCAGGGCUGAGCCUGGUCAGUUCCUGGAUGGGAGACCACAUGGGAAAACUAGGUUGCUGUGGAAG
rnacentral:rRNA from 1 species